GUACGUCUUCAGGGCGGGGUGCAAUUCCCCACCGGCGGUAUGUGGCAAGGCUUCAGGCCGAACCACGAGCCCGCGAGCGCCCGCGCGAGCCACAUGCGCGGGGUCAGCAGAUUUGGUGAAAUGCCAGAGCCGACGGUCACAGUCCGGAUGAGAGAAGAUGUGC
rnacentral:ncRNA from 1 species